CAGCAGCCGCGGUAAUACAGAGGAUGCAAGCGUUAUCCGGAAUGAUUGGGCGUAAAGCGUCUGUAGGUGGCUUUUCAAGUCCGCCGUCAAAUCCCCGGGCUCAACCUGGGAAUGGCGCUUGUGACUGCAAAGCUAGAGUGCGGCAGAGGGGGAUGGAAUUCCGCGUGUAGCAGUGAAAUGCAUAGAUAUGCGGAGGAACACCGAUGGCGAAGGCAAUCCCCUGGGCCUGCACUGACGCUCAUGCACGAAAGCGUGGGGAGCAAACAGGAUUAGAUACCCCGGUAGUCCCUGUCUCUUAUAC
rnacentral:rRNA from 1 species